rnacentral:rRNA from 1 species
GCUGGCGGCGUGCCUAAUACAUGCAAGUCGAGCGAACAGACGAGGAGCUUGCUCCUCUGACGUUAGCGGCGGACGGGUGAGUAACACGUGGAUAACCUACCUAUAAGACUGGGAUAACUUCGGGAAACCGGAGCUAAUACCGGAUAAUAUAUUGAACCGCAUGGUUCAAUAGUGAAAGACGGUUUUGCUGUCACUUAUAGAUGGAUCCGCGCCGCAUUAGCUAGUUGGUAAGGUAACGGCUUACCAAGGCAACGAUGCGUAGCCGACCUGAGAGGGUGAUCGGCCACACUGGAACUGAGACACGGUCCAGACUCCUACGGGAGGCAGCAGUAGGGAAUCUUCCGCAAUGGGCGAAAGCCUGACGGAGCAACGCCGCGUGAGUGAUGAAGGUCUUCGGAUCGUAAAACUCUGUUAUUAGGGAAGAACAAAUGUGUAAGUAACUAUGCACGUCUUGACGGUACCUAAUCAGAAAGCCACGG